rnacentral:lncRNA from 1 species
GUGCAUCAGGUUCUUGACAAAGAUUACUGGAACAGUUACACAGGCGUCAGAAAAACAAAAUGAGCCAACCUAAGGUGUAAGCUAUAAGAUCUUCUCUGAGAGAGUCAUCCACCAUUAAAAAAUUGUAAACCAAGGGGUGUCGACAAUGACAAGGCUAAGAAGAAUAUGGUAAAGAGCCAUGAAGAUCUUGAUGCUUUAACUACAGGCAGGAUAAAUUAAAGUGGAGGCCGUCCCAUGUUUUCCCCCAGCUGGUGUUUCACUCUCCUAACCAGCGCAACAUCAAUUAAUUGAAUGAAAUGGUUAAAUGUUGAGACGCUUUCUGCAGACUGGUAGAACCAAUACCUCAUCUGGUUGAAAGAAUACCUUAUCCAUCAGGUACAGAAGUCAACGGACGUAGCUAGCAAAAGUGAUGGUGAAAGCACA